rnacentral:lncRNA from 1 species
UUAAAGCCCGCAUAUCAGCCCAUUUCAAUUACCAUAUCCAAAUGUCCAUUACAUCCAAAUAUCCAUUAUCCAUAUCCAAAUCAAGACAAAAAUGAAAUGCAUUGUCAAGCAAAUUACAGCAAGCCAAAAUGCAUUGCAGCAAACCAAAACAGUACAAAUUGAAAUGCAACUGCAAAAUAGAAACGACAGUGCAACAUACUAAUUGAAACACAAGUGCAUAACAAAAACGCCUAUGCAAGUCAAAACGCAAGCCAUGGCAGCAUGAAGCACAAACAUAAACAUCAGUACGCAAAUGAAACGCAUCAGCAAAACACAAGGCAAAAUGAACGUGACCAAAACGCAGAAUUGCAAGCAGAAGCAAUCAAAACGGAAUCAAAAAUUCAAAACUCACAUCCAAAGAUUCAAUUAUACACAACUAUAAAUACAAGAAGGAAUUGAGAGAAGUUUUUCUUCUUCAAUCUUCCAAAAAAGAGACCUGCAGAAUCUUCAACUUCUUCUUCUUCUUCCAGCACCGCAAUGCCUGCACAUACGAACCAAUUCAGUACAUCAACUCCAUAUCAAACCUCACCAAUCUUCACACAACUCAGAGCAACGCAAAAGAAUACACAAUGACGAAGAACCAUUCAAACAUAAGCAAUAAGAAGAAGAUUGAGAUACUUGAGUUGAAUUCGACGUCGCCGACGAAUCCGCCGCCUUCGCCAUCGCAAGUGAGAACCUCGUCUCUCCGUGCUAAUCAAUCCUUAUGUUGCAGUGUGAAUCAUGGUUUAGUACACUUCCAUUUUCCAUUUCGAUCCAUCGUGAGAAUCGAACGUUAGCACUUUGUUUUGGUUAAGUGAAGGAGGUUGUUUUUGGUUCCGUUUAGGAGAGACAGAAGCAGAGAUGGCGUGUGAGGUGCUUCACCGUGUAAGUGCCUCAAUCGGUGCUGGAGCCAGCACGACCGACGUCUUCUAUCUUUUCCUCCCUCUGCGUUGCUAAGCAUGAAGAGGUGAGAAAGAUGAG